rnacentral:rRNA from 1 species
GACGAACGCUGGCGGCGUGCCUAACACAUGCAAGUCGAGUGAUUUACUUCGGUAAAGAGCGGCGGACGGGUGAGUAACGCGUGGGUAACCUGCCCUGUACACACGGAUAACAUACCGAAAGGUAUGCUAAUACGAGAUAAUAUACUUUUAUCGCAUGGUAGAAGUAUCAAAGCUUUUGCGGUACAGGAUGGACCCGCGUCUGAUUAGCUAGUUGGUAAGGUAACGGCUUACCAAGGCGACGAUCAGUAGCCGACCUGAGAGGGUGAUCGGCCACAUUGGAACUGAGACACGGUCCAAACUCCUACGGGAGGCAGCAGUGGGGAAUAUUGCACAAUGGGCGAAAGCCUGAUGCAGCAACGCCGCGUGAGCGAUGAAGGCCUUCGGGUCGUAAAGCUCUGUCCUCAAGGAAGAUAAUGACGGUACUUGAGGAGGAAGCCCCGGCUAACUACGUGCCAGCCGCCGCCGUAA